GAUGAACGCUGGCGGCGUGCCUAAUACAUGCAAGUCGAGCGAACGCACCAGAAGCUUGCUUCUCUGAUGUUAGCGGCGGACGGGUCCGUCACUCGUGGAUAACCUACCUAUACGACUGGGGUACUUUCGCGAAACCGGAGCUUCUACCCGAUAAUAUUUUGACCCUCAUUGUUCAAACGUUGAAUACGGUCUUUCUGUCACUUAUAGCCGAAUCCGCCUUGCAUUAGCUGGUUGGUAAGGUAACGGCUUACCCACGCUACGAUGGAUACCCGACCUGAACGGGUGGACCGCUAGACGGGAACUGAGACAGGGCCCAGACACCUGCGGGAGGAAACAGUAGGGAAUCUUACGCGAUGGGGGAGAGGCUGACGGAGCAACGCCGCGUGAGUGAUGAAGGUCUUCGGCUGGGAAAGUGAUGUUAGUAGGGAAGAACAUAUGUGUAAGUAACUGUGCACAUAAUGACGGUACCGAAAGAGAAAGCCACGGCUAACUACGUG
rnacentral:rRNA from 1 species